AGUAUAUGUUAUGAUUUAGGACUGGUAAAAGAGGCAAAGUCCGUGUAACCAUGUACAUUCCGUCCCGGAGUACGUGUACACAACUAGACAGAAUCGCGUUGAGGAUUUUCAUCAAGGAGUAUGUGCACAAAGUUUUUAAGGAACAUGGACGACCAUUCACAUCCGGAGUUGUACCAUGGAAUAUCUAUGUGGAUGCAAAUAAAUAAUAAUGCAUGGAUGAACAAGAGUAAAAUCGAACAAGCUCCAUAUUAUGACUUGGCAAAAUCAGGGACCUAUAAUAAUACUAUAUGAUUUGACUUCUGUAUUAUAAACCAAACUGGUGUUGGGGUAGCCAUGAACUCGUGAUAGGUCACUUUCGUUUGUACGUUCUAGUUUCUUGCAAGUCUCAUCUCUGGAAGUGCUUUGUUGUUUGCCUCAUAUGUCAGGUUAAAUGGUUAUGGGAAGGUAAUUAACGAACAUUUGUUGUGCGUAAGACCGAUUAAUAUUCUAAACCCUACGUACGCCAUUUAGGG